GGUGGAGAGGAUGAAAGAGGCAUACAUAAAGCUGUACCAGAUGCAGACUGCCCUGAGGUUCGGAGAGCAAGAGCAGCCACAGAAGGAAACUAAAACUGCCCAGAGAGUCAGGGCAAAGCUAGAGAA